rnacentral:rRNA from 1 species
AACGAACGCUGGCGGCAUGCCUAACACAUGCAAGUCGAACGAGACCUUCGGGUCUAGUGGCGCACGGGUGCGUAACGCGUGGGAACCUGCCCUUAGGUUCGGAAUAACUCCCCGAAAGGGGUGCUAAUACCGGAUAAUGUCUUCGGACCAAAGAUUUAUCGCCUUUGGAUGGGCCCGCGUUGGAUUAGCUAGUUGGUAGGGUAAAAGCCUACCAAGGCGACGAUCCAUAGCUGGUCUGAGAGGAUGAUCAGCCACACUGGGACUGAGACACGGCCCAGACUCCUACGGGAGGCAGCAGUGGGGAAUAUUGGACAAUGGGCGAAAGCCUGAUCCAGCAAUGCCGCGUGAGUGAUGAAGGCCUUAGGGUUGUAAAUCUCUUUUACCCGGGAUGAUAAUGACAGUACCGGGAGAAUAAGCUCCGGCUAACUCCGUG